rnacentral:lncRNA from 1 species
CUGUGCUCUGGGGCUCCGGCUCCUCAGAGAGCCUCGGCUAGAUUGUUCCUUGAGGACAGGACAGUGCUUGUUUAAGACUGUAUUCCUGCUGUCUGAGCAGUAACAGGUCUUCGAGAUCAACAUGAUUUUCAUAAUCCCAAGAUGUUGCCUUUUCCGUUCUCAGAAGCAAGCAGAGGCACGCUGAUACUGUCACUAUGUUGAAUGCUGCUGUGCGGUUUGGAUUUUUUUAAGGUAGUUUAGGUAGGAGGUAUGUGUUUUGUAUGAAUUAAACUCUAAGUUACACCUUCCAUAAUUCAUGCAGUGUUGUGCAAUUGCCAUUUUUAAGUCUUGCAGUUUUUUUCGUACAUGAGGAUAAAGGUGCUUUAGAGUGCUUAAAUAGCGUGUCUUUUGCAACAUACUAUUUAUUCAUUUAUUCAUAUUAUUUAUUUUACGCAUAUGAGAGUUUUGUCUGCAUACAUGUUUGUGAGCUAUAUGCAUGCCUAGUGCUUGGUGAGAUCAGAAGAGGGUGUUGGGUCCCUUGAAACUGUAGUUACAGGGGUUGUGACCCACCAUGUGGCUGAAGUGAAUUGAACCCAGCUUCUACAAGAGCAAAGAGUAUUCUAAACCACUGAGCCAUCUUUCCAGCUCCAACAUACUAACUUCAGAUAGUGUUGGAACCAUCAAUACUGUGUAGUCAUUUUGAAGGGAGUCAUUCCAGUGAGUGCUGGAUUAUUUUGAAUGCUAUGGAAGGAACAUUUAAAUGUUUCAUAAAACAAAACUGUCAGAAGCUUCAAAGUAGAAAUUAAAAAGCUGAAGUAUUUCAGAAGGGAAACAAGCUACUUGCUGUAUUAGUUAGAGAAAUACAUACUAGCUAAGAAAAUUUAAAAACCAUAUACUUGACAUUGCUGAGUAUCUGCCAGAUGAAAAGGAAUGCUCAGAGUGGUUCUGUUGAGCAAUAUAACAACUUGUUAUAUUAAAGACUUUCCCACAGAUUUAAACUCUAAUCUGUAAUUCAUGUAUGUAUGUUACAAAUGGAUGAAACUUAAAACGUGGCUGGUCUUGUCACUGUGUUUGUAUUUAUGUGAAAGCUUGGCAAUAAACUUAUGUCCUAAAAUGGUCA